rnacentral:misc_RNA from 2 species
CACAAUACAAUAUGAAGGCCGUACGCGGCUGGAUUAUUUUAUUACCCUUGUCUUUUGCGCACUUGUUGUUUCCUGGGCGGGUUCGCCCGCCACCAGGACCACACCAUAAACCUUUUUUAUGCAGUUGCAAUCAGCGUCAGUACAACAAAUGUAAAUCAUUUA